CUAGUGAUUGGAAUGAUGGGAAUCCAAACCCCUUUCAGAGUAACAAUUGGAGGGCAAGUCUGGUGCCAGCAGCCGCGGUAAUUCCAGCUCCAAUAGCGUAUAUUAAAGUUGUUGCAGUUAAAAAGCUCGUAGUUGGAUAUCUGCUGGAAGCAAUCAGUCCGCCCUAUUUUAGGGUGUGCACUUGAUGAAUUCUGGCAUCUAUUAUUCUUAAUAUAAUGAUUAUUGAAAUGAUUUUCAAUAAUCAAUAUUAGGAAUAAUACAGUUACUUUGAGAAAAUUAGAGUGUUUGAAGCAGGCUUAUUGCCUUGAAUACUGCAGCAUGGAAUAACAAUAUAGGAUUUCGGUUCUAUUAUUUUGUUGGUUUGUAGGACUGAAAUAAUGAUUAAUAGGGACAGUUGGGGGCAUUCGUAUUUAACUGUCAGAGGUGAAAUUCUUAGAUUUGUUAAAGACGAACUACUGCGAAAGCAUUUGCC
rnacentral:rRNA from 1 species